UUAAAUCAUGAUCAGUGAAGUACAAUGAUGAUAAUGUAUAUGGUUCAGCCUUACUACUAAUUUCAGAGCAAAAGGGUAGAAUUUUGUUUUUCAAAUGUAAUGACUGAAGUUGAGAAAAAAAGAUAUACAUAGGACAACCUUCUGCUCUUGCUUUAGCCUUAGCUUGAGGUGAGAGCUUUUGAUAAUUCUGUAAAGUUUGGUUAAAGCAGGGAAAAGAAAGGCAUGACAGUAAAUACUUUUUAUAAUAUGUUCCUUGCAAAGGUUCCUGGGAUCAUUAGCAUCACAUCCUUCAGUGGUGGAGGCUGCGUGUGGGACCCUUUUUUACUGAAGACAAGAGACAGCUUGGGAUUGCACAAAUAACAAGCACUGUUACAAGAGCAGCUGUUGUACAUUGUACACUCAGAGCAGCAUCACUGGUGCAGACCUUCUCAUUACCUUCAGCUGAUGUUUUUGCCAUCUCCAGGCCUAAGGUCCAUUUAUGAGGCUCCAGCAGAACCUGCAUACAGUAGAUGCAGAAAGGAGAGAAAUUCAGAUGCCUAGGUGCUACCAAAUACGAUCUAGGACACCUACAGAUCUGCAUAUCUGGCAUUAACCUCCCACUCCAGAGCUGCGGGUGAGCAAUCAGUAAAUUCCAUCUGGUGCAAAGUCCAGGAGUCCCAAAGGGAACAUUCAUACAGGAUUGAUCUUGUCAUUUCAGUCUUCUUGCUCUUUAUUGAAGGAAAGAAUAAAAAGCCCCUUGCCUCCACACUCUUGAAAGAGAACAUCUUUCUGAAAAGGUGUUCAAAUAAGCUUCAGUCAACAACUAUGAUUUUGAACCCAUCCGGAACAACUGCCCUUAGCAAGAAGAAAGUCUUCCAAAGCAAAGUCGUCCUGUUUCAAGUGGAACUUUCCUAUGCCAGGCAAUGAGUUCUAGCUACACAGAAUGAAACCUAAGUCACUUUGAAACUGAAGUGCAUGCUGCCAUUGGUUUGAUGACCCAGGGUUAUAUUCCGGAAGAAGACUACAUAGGUAUGUAAGAAGAUAGUCUUUCUCUUGCAUCAGCUGAUGUUCUGCUGCCCACAAGAUCACUAUUGAGCUUAGUUUUGUAAAAGCAGAGAAAUAUUGUUAUUGUGAACAAAACUGAAUGCUUGCCUGGCCCAUCUUCUUUAAAGAUACAGACUUCAAAUGCUUCAGAUAAUACAAUGCGU
rnacentral:lncRNA from 1 species